ACGUAGGGGGCAAGCGUUAUCCGGAUUUACUGGGUGUAAAGGGAGCGUAGACGGCUGUGCAAGUCUGGAGUGAAAACCCGGGGCUCAACCCCGGGAUUGCUUUGGAAACUGUGUAGCUGGAGUACCGGAGAGGCAAGUGGAAUUCCUAGUGUAGCGGUGAAAUGCGUAGAUAUUAGGAGGAACACCAGUGGCGAAGGCGGCUUGCUGGACGGUAACUGACGUUGAGGCUCGAAAGCGUGGGGAGCAAACAG
rnacentral:rRNA from 1 species